GGCCAGACUCCUACGGGAGGCAGCAGUGAGGAAUAUUGGUCAAUGGCCGAGAGGCUGAACCAGCCAAGUCGCGUGAGGGAAGACGGCCCUACGGGUUGUAAACCUCUUUUGUCGGGGAGCAAAGCGAGUCACGUGUGACUCAUUGAGAGUACCCGAAGAAAAAGCAUCGGCUAACUCCGUGCCAGCAGCCGCGGUAAUACGGAGGAUGCGAGCGUUAUCCGGAUUUAUUGGGUUUAAAGGGUGCGCAGGCGGAGGUGCAAGUCAGCGGUCAAAUGUCGGGGCUCAACCCCGGCCUGCCGUCGGAACUGGGUGCCUUGAGUGGGCGAGAAGUAUGCGGAAUGCGUGGUGUAGCGGUGAAAUGCAUAGAUAUCACGCAGAACCCCGAUUGCGAAGGCAGCAUGCCGGCUUCCGACUGACGCUGAAGCACGAAAGCGUGGGGAUCGAACAGGAUUAGAUACCCCUGUAUU
rnacentral:rRNA from 1 species